rnacentral:tRNA from 2 species
CUCUCGGUAGCCAAGUUGGUUUAAGGCGCCAGACUGUAAAUCUGGAGAUCGGGUGUUCGACUCACCCCCGGGAGA